UGUAGCUCAGUGGUAGAGCAUUUGCCUCUCACGCGUGAGGCACUGGGUUUGAUUCUCAGCA
rnacentral:tRNA from 1 species